AUUGAACGCUGGCGGCAGGCCUAACACAUGCAAGUCGAACGAGUGGCGGACGGGUGAGUAAUGUCUGGGAAACUGCCUGAUGGUGGGGGAUAACUACUGGAAACGGUAGCUAAUACCGCAUACCAUCGGAUGUGCCCAGAUGGGAUUAGCUAGUGGGUGGGGUAACGGCUCGCCUAGGCGACGAUCCCUAGCUGGUCUGAGAGGAUGACCAGGCGCACUGGAACUGAGACGCGGUCCAGACUCCUACGGGAGGCAGCAGUGGAGAAUAUGGCACAAUGGGCGCAAGCCUGAUGCAGCCAUGCCGCGUGGAUGAAGAGGGCCUUCGGGUUGUAAAGUACUUUAAGCGGGGAGGCGUUACCCGCAGAAGAAGCACCGGCUAACUCCGUGCCAGCAGCCGCGGUAAUAC
rnacentral:rRNA from 1 species